rnacentral:rRNA from 1 species
UUUAAAUUGAGAGUUUGAUCCUGGCUCAGGAUGAACGCUGGCGGCGUGCUUAACACAUGCAAGUCGAGCGAUGAAGUUUCCUUCGGGAAACGGAUUAGCGGCGGACGGGUGAGUAACACGUGGGUAACCUGCCUCAUAGAGUGGAAUAGCCUUCCGAAAGGAAGAUUAAUACCGCAUAACGUUGAAAGAUGGCAUCGUCAUUCAACCAAAGGAGCAAUCCGCUAUGAGAUGGACCCGCGGCGCAUUAGCUAGUUGGUGGGGUAACGGCCUACCAAGGCGACGAUGCGUAGCCGACCUGAGAGGGUGA